rnacentral:tRNA from 1 species
GCCGGGGUGGCGGAAUUGGCAGACGCGCAUGGUUGAGGGCCAUGUGGGAGUAAUCCUGUGCGGGUUCAAAUCCCGCCCCCGGCA